ACCAUUAACAUAUUCACCAAUCAAUUGGUGUGUCAUGUCAUCAGUGCUUAAUAUAAGUUAAGCACCAUUGCCCAUUAGAUCAUUUUCUUAUACAUAUAUAUAUGUAUGCUACAAUUUAGCAAGUGAUAACAAUGGAAGAGUUGAGGUAGUAUGUGACCGUGGAUAUAGAGACUUCUUUUAGAUUAAUAAGCUGUGAUACAAUAAGUGCCUUCUUACAAAUAUAACCAAACUCUUCUUCUUUGAAUUUCCAUGCUUGCACAUUCUUAGUUUGGAAAUUUGCUUAUGCUCAGUAUCUUUUCUUGAAUGUUGUGGUACUUUCGAGAAUCUUUUAACACGAUCCUGGAUAUCAAUGGCCACUAGAUAUGAGCAAAAGACUGGGUAGUGUGUGAUAGACCCUAUACUUGAAAAUUUUAAGAACUACACUAUUUUGGGAAAGUAAAUUUUCAAUAAUAAAGGUUUUUUCACCUAUCGUGUUUUUGCAACAAAGUAAGUUUUUGUUUGAAGUAAAACUUUGCCUACCAAGAAUAGUUUUGCUGCUUUUGUGAGGCCAAUGUGUAUUUACAAUAGCUAAAUCUUCACUUAAUAAUAUGUUCCUAAUAUUUUACAUUAAUAAGAGAAAUGAUAAAAACCUCAUCUUAAUUGGGUAACUUUCUAUUAUAUAAAAAUUAUCUUCUCACUUUAUUGGAAAAUUCAGUUAAUUCUAGUAUGUCAUUGAUCAUGUGAUAGUAUAACAUUUGAUAUUAAUAGAGAUUUCCCAUAAGCCUGAUAACUUCACGUAUAAUUCUAUAUAUAAAUCAUAACUUACAACUAGAUAAGGAGAGGUAUAACGAGUAAUUCUAUAGACAUGUUAUUUAUUCGGUAUUAAGCAUUAUACUUGUGUAAAGCUUUAUUUGCUUUAAAUUCAAACAACUUGAUUUGAAUUUAAAGCGGAUAAAGCUUUACACAAGUAUUUAUUUAGAUGUGUAUUGUUUUGCCAAUCAAUCUUAAGCCUAACAACACCGUGAGAUUUUCACUCAUUUGGAGUGUCAGCAGGUGCUUAUUGUCAACACAUUGGUGGUACUGUCUUUGGAAAAUGUCAUGUUUAUUCCCACCAACAAAUUCCCAUGAGUAACUAUUAUUGAUGGUUUUGUUAUUAUCAAAAUCAGAACUUUACCAUGACAAUCGAGAAAGGACAGUGGAUUUUAUGUUCUCGACAGCAUGAGGGAAGUAAUGUAUAUUUACUUUUAAAAAUGGAAUUUUUCCUUCUUGCUCGAUAGUGGAAAUAGACUGCAGUAAGUUUGUGAGUUGCUAAAAUUAUAAAACAUUUUUUAUGAUCUUGCAAGAAAAUCGUUUAACAUAGGCAGGCAAAUGUUGUCUGGAGAAAUAAAGGCAGAAAAAUGUGACGAGUAUCCUCUGUUAAAUUGUUAAUUAUAAGGUUGACUUGACAGUUUACCACUUUUGUUCAAUAUGAAUUAAAUAUGUGCUUACAUACAUCAUGGCAGGAUGACAUUAGAUUUAAGUACUGAAAGUUGUGCUUGAUAGAAGAAAACCAGCACCAGAGGGGUCAACAAAAAGCUUCAGGAAUUAAAAAGGGAGAGUGGGUGUGGGGGGGGGGGGGGGG
rnacentral:lncRNA from 1 species